rnacentral:rRNA from 1 species
GAUGAACGCUGGCGGCGUGCCUAAUACAUGCAAGUCGAGCGAACGGACGAGAAGCUUGCUUCUCUGAUGUUAGCGGCGACCGGGUGAGUAACACGUGGAUAACCCACCUAUAAGACUGGGAUAACUUCGGGAAAACGGCGCUAAUCCCGGACAAUAUUUUGAACAGCAUGGUUCAAAAGUGCAAGACGGUCUUGCUAUCCCUUAUAGAUGGAUUCGCGCUGCAUUAGCUAGUUGGUAAGGUAACGGCUUACCAAGGCAACGAUGCUAACCCGACCUGAGAGGAUGAACGGGCAGACUGAAACUGAGGAUGGGUCCACACUCCGACAGUAGGCAGCAGUAGAGACUCUUCCGGAAUGCACGAAUGCCGGACGGUGCAACGCCGCGGGAGUCAUGAUGGACUACGGAUCGGAAAACUCUGUAAUUUUGGAAGAACAUAUGUGUAAGUAACAGGGCACAUCUUGACGGUACCUAAUCAGAAAGCCACGGCUAACUACGUG